rnacentral:rRNA from 1 species
AGCUCCAAUAGCGUAUAUUAAAGUUGUUGCAGUUAAAAAGCUCGUAGUUGGAUUUCGGAGUGGGCCAGUUGGUCCGCCGCAAGGUGUGUUACUGACUGGUUUGCUCUUCUUCGCAAAGACUGCGUGUGCUCUUUAUUGAGUGUGCGUAGGAUUUACGACGUUUACUUUGAAAAAAUUAGAGUGUUCAAAGCAGGCUAUUGCUUGAAUACAUGAGCAUGGAAUAAUGGAAUAGGAUUUUGGUCCCAUUUUGUUGGUUUCUAGGACCGAAGUAAUGAUUAAGAGGGACAAUUGGGGGCAUCCGUAUUUCGUUGUCAGAGGUGAAAUUCUUGGAUUUACGAAAGACGAACAACUGCGAAAGCACUUGCCAAGAGUGUUUUCAUUAAUCAAGAACGAAAGUACG